rnacentral:rRNA from 1 species
ACAGCAGCCGCGGUAAUACGGAGGUUGCAAGCGUUGUUCGGAAUGACUGGGCGUAAAGGGAGCGCAGGCGGCUUGUUAAGUCUGGAGUGAAAGCCCGGGGCUCAACCCCGGCGGGUCUUCGGAUACUGGCAAGCUUGAGUACGGAAGAGGAGAGCGGAAUUCCAGGUGUAGCGGUGAAAUGCGUAGAUAUCUGGAGGAACACCGGUGGCGAAAGCGGCUCUCUGGUCCGAUACUGACGCUCAGGCUCGAAAGCGUGGGGAGCAAACGGGAUUAGAUACCCCGGUAGUCCACGCCGUAAACGUUGUGCGCUAGGUGUAGGAGGUAUCGACCCCUCCUGUGCCGCAGCUAACGCAUUAAGCGCACCGCCUGGGGAGUACGCCCGCAAGGGUGAAACUCAAAGGAAUUGACGGGGGCCCGCACA